GACGAACGCUGGCGGCGUGCUUAACACAUGCAAGUCGAACGGAAAGGCCCUGCUUUUGUGGGGUGCUCGAGUGGCGAACGGGUGAGUAACACGUGAGUAACCUGCCCUUGACUUUGGGAUAACUUCAGGAAACUGGGGCUAAUAACGGAUAGGAGCUCCUGCUGCAUGGUGGGGGUUGGAAAGUUUCGGCGGUUGGGGAUGGACUCGCGGCUUAUCAGCUUGUUGGUGGGGUAGUGGCUUACCAAGGCUUUGACGGGUAGCCGGCCUGAGAGGGUGACCGGCAACAUUGGGACUGAGAUACGGCCCAGACUCCUACGGGAGGCAGCAGUGGGGAAUAUUGCACAAUGGGCGGAAGCCUGAUGCAGCAACGCCGCGUGCGGGAUGACGGCCUUCGGGUUGUAAACCGCUUUCGCCUGUGACGAAGCGUGAGUGACGGUAAUGGGUAAAGAAGCACCGGCUAACUACGUG
rnacentral:rRNA from 1 species